UGAACUCGUACAAAACAUGUUUGACAUAGUCUCACACAAUUCACUCAUCCUUUGUAAAUCAAUCAACACGUUUUUCCCGAGGCAAUGCCAAUGUUCAGUUCACAUAGCACGUGAUUUUUAUGACUACAUAUUGUUAUUGUUGGCGCCAGCGCGGAUAUAUUCAAAGUGACACGUCUAAAAAGGUUGUGUCUUUGUGGCAGAGAUAAAGUGGUGUAUAUAAGAUCAUAGAUGGGUCCACGUGGUUUCAGAUUUCUACUGUAGGGUAAAAAGGUCGUGUUCAAGUGACAAAGUUCAAGAUCAAAGAAACAGAUCACGGGUGGAGGUGUUUUUCAAAUAUGGAAUAUUAAAUGUUGUGUUUUAAUGGCAAAGAUCAAGCACAACAUACAGAUCAUGGACAAAGGUGUUGUUAGAUCUGGAGCACAAACGGGCUACCAUGGAAACGAACCUCUACAUCUAGGCAGUGGUGCAAAUGGAAAACAGACAUUCAGAUCUACAAAGUUGUACGGCAGAUUCUGGAGUACAAAACGGUUACCAUGGAAACAUACAUCUAGGCAAUGGUAUAGAUGGAUGACCGAGGCCGAGAUCUGCAAAGUUAUACAGCAUAUUUUGGAGAAUACAUGGUAUGAAGUUUACUUUUAAUUUCUUGUAACACUAUAAUACAUUUGUUUCUGUCUUUACACAUGCCUUUCUGUAUCUUAUGCAUUCAACAGGGUUACCACGGAAACGUAUAUAUACCUAAAGGCAAUGAUAUAAACUGAAUGCAGACGUUCAGAUACACAAAGUUUUACAGCAGAUGAAGCAUGUAAGGUGUGUAUGUUUACUUUUUCUUCCUUUUGGCAACAUUGUUAUGUUUGUUUCUGUUUUUACACAUGCCUGUCUGUAUCUUAUACAAACAACAGGUUUAGCACGGAAACGCAUGUCCACAUCAAUGCAAUGGUAUAAAUGGAUGACCGACGUUCAGAUGUACUAAGUUAUACAGCAAAUUUUGGAACAUAAAGGGUUUGUAUAUUUACUUUUCCUUUAAUGCGUAAUUUGUAUAAAGGUAAUACUAAGCUUAUAUAUGUUUGUUUCUGUUCUUACACAUGCAUUUCUCUAUCUAUACACUGAACAGGGUUACCAUGGAAACAUACCUCUUCAUCUAGGCAAUGGUAUAAACUGAUGACCGGCAUUCAAGUCCCUGGCAAAGAGAGAAAUUCAGCUGUCGAUCAAGCGCUACAGGUUUAGCUUUAAAUAAUCUAAGCCUUGCUAAGACCUGAAAAUAAAUGUCAGGCAAAACUGAAACAAAAGCAAAAUAACUGGAUGCACUUAAAGAGCACCUAAUCUAUCUUGUAUACUUUCGCUUCGUAAUACUGUAUGUUUAGUGUUUGCUGUUUUGUCAGGGAUCUGUUUGCAGUGGCUACUUGGUUGUUUUUGUGGUGGUGUUUAUUGUGGUGUUUGUUGUGGUGUUUUUGUGUAUAUGGAGGUGUCUGUGGUGGUUUCAAUGUGGUCUUCUCGGUUUUAUUCUUGAUGGUUGUAUUGUUUUGUUGAAAACGGGCAUUUGGUGCGUUUUGUUUGUUGUAUUGGGCUGUUUGUCAUGGUGUUUUUCUUUCUGCCAUUACCAAUGUAUUAUUACUCGCUUUGUAUACUGUAGAAAAUUAUUAGAAUAAGUUCAAUAUUACAUUGUGUUAUAACUUUACUUGUCCAGCAAAUUUUAGAUACCCGGAAACACAUAUGAAGAUAUAGGCGGACGAAUAGACAUCAUGUGCAGACGAAAGCUUGGGCUGGGAAGCGUGCUCCGUUGUUUUAUUUCUGCUUUUUAUUCCUUUUGUUUUGCAUUGCAUUGCUUUUUUCACUAGACUUUUGGGGCACGUGAAGAACGAAGACGCAGACGGAUAUUGAAGAUGCAUACCAGACAAAAUUUGGGUUACUGUUUAUCACAAACAGGUGCGUAUGUUGCUUUUUAUAUUAUUCUAUUUUGUAUGCAUCUCUUCGCAGAAUUUUCAAGUUGAAUACAAGCCGGUGUAAAGAUGUCGCAUUGUAGAUGACACAAUGGUUUAGUGGAUGGGGAAGAUAGCGCGGCUGAUGUUGACUGUACAGACACGCGUUAAGAUGUCAUGCUGUAGAUGUGACAAUGGUUUUGUGGACGACGCAGCUUGGGUUUUCUUUUUGGACGCACUGAGUAUUUAGUCAGCAGAGUAUAACUUUCAACAUGUAAGAAGCAGAGGUCAAUUUUCCACUUGGAGUAAUUCAAUAGCAUGGCAAUGUGGACACAGAUCCUGGUUUUGGUAAAAGAAGUACUCGAAAUAUCCGACGAAAAGCAAUUUCUUGGAUUAUACACUAGGAAGAAAAUGUUAGUUAAUGGAACAAUAGCAGCAGUAGAACUACCUUGCCGGUACCCUAACGAAGCCGGUCAUCAGAUGUGCAUUGAAACCCUAUCAAACCCUUGCGUUACCAUGGUAAUCAGCCGUUAUCAACAAGGCAAGGUAGUGCAUGGAUAUAGUGGAAUUCAAGCCUUGGUGGACCUUUCUUCUGUAUUUGUCCAGUCUUGUUGAUCGUAGACAGCUGUUCCACACCUCGUACACAACAGAGAAACCCCCUCGGACGAAGAAUUCGUUCAGAUUCACAAGUAAGAAGUAUCUGCAGAAGAAAGAACCAAUUAUGGUAGAUCCACGACAGUCCUGGCACAAGCAAACAUGGCAUCACCACAGCCCCGACACAAGCUUUGUUGAGAUUAGAUAUAAACUAACAUGUAUAUAAUUAUACCUUCAUGUACAAAGUACACGGGAUUAUAUUGGAGUCACAUAUGUCAGCGGGUCCGUUCGCUUAUCUGUCCAUCAUGUCCGCUGGGAAGAUUUUUAAAAAAAAUGGCUUCAUUUAUUAGCCUCAACAAGAAUGUUCGUUGUGCACAACCCAAGUUACUAGGCCCAAGGUCAGUAUUACUCUUGGAGGACAAAGUUCAAAUAACUUUAAUUUAGUGUCCGCUCCAUGUAGUCUUAACUGCAACGAAUAUUUAGGUCAAGCAUUCGUUAUUGAACUCGCCCUGCCUUCAGGGUCACUGUCACCGUUGCAUUCAGGUUAAACUUUUAUAUGAUUCUCAAAAUCACUAUAUUUUCUUAACUACUGCCCAUAUUAGCAUCAAACUUCACAUUUGUUGAUUGUGGUAAAACGCAGACAUUUAUUUGUUAGGGGUCAAGCAUCCAAAAGGUCAAAGUUACUUGGGUCAUAUUUUGUAAUUGUGCUGGUUAAAUCUUAGAUUGUUUCUUAUAUCUUCUCAUUCUCCCUCCCCUAACCCCUACUCUACCCCCUAAAAGAAAAGAGUCUUAUUUAUCACUCACGCUUACUUAUAUCCUAUAGCAAUAAAUAUUGGUCAGCAUUUCCGAAUAGUCACGCGGGCUUUCCUUACAACAGUUCUUGAUAUAAAAUUAGGAUUAGUAAAUAGAUGUAAGCACUCACAACCUAGUUCAUUCGGUCAAAGGUCAAGUUCUGACUUAAAAGACCGCACCAUAUUGCCUAAUCUAAUAAAGUAAGCACUAACUGUCAAUUCCAUCUAGCCACUAGGUUAAACGUCAUUGUGACAGAUAUGAGGUCAAAGGUCAAAUAGCUUUGUGACUGAUACAUAUCUUGAAACCCCAUUUUCCAUACACUCGUAAAACUAGCAAUAAAUAUCAAGAAGACAUGUAUAGAACCCAGAUUAUUAGAUCCAAGGUCAAGGUUACACUUGAAUGUCAAAAUGAUGACAACAUUGACUUACCCUGCAUCAAAGCAGCGUCUGGGGGUAACAAUAGUUCUAGUUUAUCAUUUUUAGCGGACCAAAUUUGUAAUCGUAUUAACCAUUUGACAAAUAUUUCCUAAACUUUAGGAUAAAUAUUUAAAACAAAAAUCAGGAAAUUGUUUGUUUUUUUUAACACUGAUACAGUGGGACUAUUUUUAGACACAGCGAAUAUUUUAGCUUGAUUUGUUGCCAGUCGUGAUUUUCUAAAUGAUAGUUUUAUUACAAAUUCAAAAUGUAGCACAUUUGACAUUAAUGUAAAAAAUCAGGGACGGCGAAUUUUGUAAGAAAAAAAUGUAGUUGGUUAAAUAUUUCAAAAAGUGUCUCAAAUUUUUGCUCUUUUGAACAGUUGCGUUUUAACUGGUCAGGGAUUGUUUCAAAAAUAAAUAUGCGUAGUUUAGUUGAUGUAUAAAAAGCUACUUUUUGCAACUUGUACAUUUUGGAGUGGGGGCUAAAUUCCAAACCCUCAUAUAUUUUAAAACAUAUAGAGGACAUUCCUUUGUUUCAGUGUAAGCUCGAAACAGAAACAUUCUAGUGUUCACACGUGAAAAUUUUUAAAAAGUAAUCACACGGAUUUUAUUCUAAUGCAUUUUAUUUUUAUAUUAUAUUUUCUGCCAACGUAACGCCAUACGCUAUGUGCAACGUUACUCUACAUUUUAUGGCAAUACUUAUGUUGGAAAAAAGUGACAUAGUGACAUUUCAAUCUACAUGUAAUUAUGUUUUAGUUAAAAAGAUAUCCGAUUCUACGUUAUUCAUAUUCUUGCGUUAAAUUGUGGUUACAUACAAGUGAAAAUUGUAUUUGGAUUUCUCACCUUUUAGGAGCGGCUUUAUCAGGGUAUAAUGCAUC